GCUCCCGUAGCUCAGGUUGGAAAGAGCACUUGCCUCCUAAGCAAGGGGUCGCGUGUUCAAAUCACGCCGGGAGCG
rnacentral:tRNA from 1 species